rnacentral:tRNA from 1 species
GCCUUCGUGGUGUAACGGUAGCACAAUCGGCGGAUAUUCGAAAGAUCCAGGUUCGAGUCCCAGCGAUGGCA